ACUUGGGCGUAGCUCCGAGAAAUCGGUGCUGAUUCCCAAUGACGCUAUGAAGUGGCAUCACUUUAGACUGAAAGCUCCGGCGGUACUAUAUGAGCAUGGUCCCAAUUAUCUAGUUGGUGAGGUAAUGGCUCACCAAUGCUGCGAUUGGUAGGGGUUCUGAGAGGAUGAUCGCCCACGCUGGUACUGAGACACGGACCAGACUCAUACGGGAGGCAGCAGUGAGGAAUAUUGCGCAAUGGACGAAAGUCUGACGCAGCCAUGCCGCGUGAAGGAUGAAGGCCCUAUGGGUUGUAAACUUCUUUUGUACGGGAAAAAACCCUUCUACGUGUAGAGGGCUGAUGGUACCGUAAGAAUAAGCACCGGCUAACUCCGUGCCAGCAGCCGCGGUAAUACGGAGGGUGCAAGCGUUAUCCGGAUUUAUUGGGUUUAAAGGGUCCGUAGGCGGGCCGAUAAGUCAGUGGUGAAAGCCCAUAGCUCAACUAUGGAACUGCCAUUGAUACUGUCGGUCUUGAGUACAAGUGAGGUUGGCGGAAUGUGUGGUGUAGCGGUGAAAUGCUUAGAUAUCACACAGAACACCGAUUGCGAAGGCAGCUGGCCAACUUGUAACUGACGCUGAGGGACGAAAGUGUGGGGAUCAAACAGGAUUAGAUACCCUGGUAGUCCACACCGUAAACGAUGAUUACUAGAUUUUGGCCUUAUGGUCAGAGUCCAAGCGAAAGUGUUUAGUAAUCCACCUGGGGAGUACGUCCGCAAGGGAUGAAACUCAAAGGGAUUUGACGGGGG
rnacentral:rRNA from 1 species